rnacentral:misc_RNA from 1 species
AAAAAAAAAAAAAAAAAAGAUGGGCUGCACCUCAAGAUUACUUUAAGUAAAAAUUAAAAUGUUUGAUGAAUCUGAACAGUACAACAAUUGCCAAAGGAAUCUUUAAAUCAGACGCUGUUCUUCUUGACUGUGGCCUCUGCUGUCUUCAAUUUAUUUUAUGAUAUUUUAUUUUGAUGUUCAUUUUCUAUUAUUAUUAACUAUUUUGUAAAAUUAUUUUGGUUUCUCUCUGUACUGUGGGUGGACUUAAUGGCUGUAUAUAGAUUCUACCAAAAGGAAUAACUGAGUAGUUUAAUAGACAGAGUGAGUUGACACGGCUGCUAUCAUAUAUUUGAUUUGUGUCAACUCCAAUUAAUCUGGAACUAUGAAGAGACAAAUCUUGCAGUAUACAAUAGGAUCAACUCAUACCAUCACCACAAUUGUGCCCAUCAUUGGAUUUGACUGAGACAAUGACUACAAUUGUGCCCAUCAUUGU